rnacentral:rRNA from 1 species
UACAGAGGUCUCAAGCGUUGUUCGGAUUCAUUGGGCGUAAAGGGUGCGUAGGUGGUGAUGCAAGUCUGGUGUGAAAUCUCGGAGCUCAACUCCGAAAUUGCACCGGAUACUGCGUGACUCGAGGACUGUAGAGGAGAUCGGAAUUCACGGUGUAGCAGUGAAAUGCGUAGAUAUCGUGAGGAAGACCAGUUGCGAAGGCGGGUCUCUGGGCAGUUCCUGACACUGAGGCACGAAGGCCAGGGGAGCAAACGGG